rnacentral:rRNA from 1 species
GUGGGGAAUCUUAGACAAUGGGGGAAACCCUGAUCUAGCCAUGCCGCGUGAUCGAUGAAUGCCUUAGGGUUGUAAAGAUCUUUCAGCUGGGAAGAUAAUGACGGUACCAGCAGAAGAAGCCCCGGCUAACUCCGUGCCAGCAGCCGCGGUAAUACGGAGGGGGCUAGCGUUGUUCGGAAUUACUGGGCGUAAAGCGCACGUAGGCGGAUUGGAAAGUUGGGGGUGAAAUCCCGGGGCUCAACCCCGGAACUACCUUCAAAACUCCCAGUCUUGAGUACGAGAGAGGUGAGUGGAAUUCCGAGUGUAGAGGUGAAAUUCGUAGAUAUUCGGAGGAACACCAGUGGCGAAGGCGGCUCACUGGCUCGAUACUGACGCUGAGGUGCGAAAGCGUGGGGAGCAAACAGGAUUAGAUACCCGGGUAGUCC